rnacentral:rRNA from 1 species
UACGUAGGGACCGAGCGUUGUCCGGAAUCAUUGGGCGUAAAGAGCGUGUAGGCGGCUUGUUAAGUCUUGCGUGAAAUCUCGGAGCUCAACCCCGAGCGGUCGUGAGAAACUGGCAGGCUAGAGUGCGGGAGAGGAGAGUGGAAUUCCUGGUGUAGCGGUGAAAUGCGCAGAUAUCAGGAAGAACACCCGUGGCGAAGGCGGCUCUCUGGAACGCAACUGACGCUGAGACGCGAAAGCGUGGGGAGCAAACAGG